GACAGAGGUGCCGAGCGUUAGGCGGAAUCACUGGGCUUAAAGCGUGUGUAGGCGGGUCCGUAAGUACCUUGUGAAAUCCCAUGGCUCAACCAUGGAACUGCUUGGUAUACUGCCGAUCUUGAGCCAGCUAGGGGCAACCGGAACAAACGGUGGAGCGGUGAAAUGCGUAGAUAUCGUUUGGAACGCCAAUGGUGAAAACAGGUUGCUGGGGCUGUGCUGACGCUGAGACACGAAAGCCAGGGGAGCGAACGGG
rnacentral:rRNA from 1 species